CUUGGGAGCUUGAUGUUUCUCUUUAAUUUUCUCCCUCAUAGAUUGUUUUCAAUUGAUCCCAUAUUUGUUGGUUGAAAUACAAGAAGAAAUUGCAUUAAACUCAUUAAUAUCUAAAGAACAAUAGAGUAUAUUCAUGGCCUUAGCAUUAAGUUGGGCCAUUUUCUUGUCAUCAAAUAUAAUCUUUCAUAAAUUAUAAUCGUGUGCUUGUAUG
rnacentral:lncRNA from 1 species